GAUAAAAUGGCUGAAGAUAGGCGAUAAAUUGUAAAUUUAUAUAUGAGGUUCUCUUUUAUCA
rnacentral:tRNA from 1 species